rnacentral:rRNA from 1 species
AGCAACAGCUAGCUUAACCCACCUAAUAAUUGAACAAUAUAAAUAAACAAAGUAAACCUAACACCAAAACCUAAACCAUUCUUUUACCUUAGUAUGGGAGACAGAAAAGGUCCCACCAAAGCAAUAGAAAAAGUACCGCAAGGGAAAGCUGAAAGAGAAAUGAAACAACCCAUAUAAGCAUAAAAAAGCAAAGAUUAAAUCCUGUACCUUUUGCAUCAUGAUUUAGCCAGUACACCCAAGCAAAGAGACCUUUAGUUUGAAACCCCGAAACCAGGUGAGCUACCCCGAGACAGCCUAUUAAGGGCCAACCCGUCUCUGUGGCAAAAGAGUGGGAAGAACUCCGGGUAGAAGUGACAGACCUACCGAACCUGGUGAUAGCUGGUUGCCUAGGAAAUGAAUAGAAGUUCAGCCUCAUGCCCCCCAAAUCAACAACACAAACAAGACACUGAGAGAGAUAUGAGAGUUAGUUAAAGGGGGUACAGCCCCUUUAACAAAGGACACAACCUUUCCAGGAGGAUAAAGAUCAUAAUAUAAAAAACACGCCGUUUUAGUGGGCCUAAAAGCAGCCACCUAAACAGAAAGCGUUAAAGCUCAAACGGAAAGAAGUUUAUUAUCCCGAUAAAAAAUCUUACUCCCCUAACCACUACUAGGCCAACCCAUGCCCACAUGGAAGAGACCAUGCUAAAAUGAGUAACAAGAAGGCCUGCCCUUCUCCCGGCACAAGUGUAAGCCAAACCGGACCAACCAUUGGCAACUAACGAACUCAACCCCAGAGAGCAAUGCGGACUACAAAAAAACCAAGAAAAAUCCACAACCUAUCCAUCGUUACCCCCACACUGGAGUGCCAUUAAGGGAAAGACUAAAAGAAGAGGAAGGAACUCGGCAAACACAAGCCUCGCCUGUUUACCAAAAACAUCGCCUCCUGCAACACAACCAAGUAUAGGAGGUCCAGCCUGCCCAGUGACUAUAAGUUUAACGGCCGCGGUAUCCUGACCGUGCAAAGGUAGCGCAAUCACUUGUCUUUUAAAUAGAGACCUGUAUGAAUGGCCAAACGAGGGCUUAACUGUCUCCCCCUUCAAGUCAGUGAAAUUGAUCUGCCCGUGCAGAAGCGGG